rnacentral:tRNA from 1 species
GCCGGAGUGGUGGAACGGUAGACACGCUGGAUUCAGGUUCCAGUGCUCGCAAGAGCGUGGAGGUUCAACUCCUCUCUCCGGCA